rnacentral:lncRNA from 1 species
AUGCGGAAUGAAGCAGGACAAAGACUAAUAGAGUUUUGCAAAGAAAAUGCACUGGUCAUAGGAAACACCCUCUUCCAACAGCACAAGAGAAGACUCUAUACGUGGACAUCACUAGAUGGUCAACACCGAAAUCAGACUGAUUAUAUUCUUUGCAGCCAAAGAUGGAGAAGCUCUAUACUGUCAGCAAAAACAAGACCAGGAGCUGACUGUGGCUCAGAUCAUGAACUCCUUAUUGCCAAAUUCAGACUUAAAUUGAAGAAAGUAGGGAAAACCACUAGACCAUUCAGGGAUGACCUCAAUCAAAUCCCUUCUGAUUAUACAGUGGAAGUGAGAAAUAGAUUUAAGGGCCUAAAUCUGUUAGAUAGAAUGCCUGAUGAACUAUGGAAUGAGGUUUGUGACAUUGUACAGGAGACAGGGAUCAAGACCAUCCCCAUGGAAAAGAAAUGCAAAAAAGCAAAAUGGCUGUCUGGGGAGGCCUUACGAAUAGGUGUGAAAAGAAGAGAGGCGAAAAGCAAAGGAGAAAAGGAAAGAUAUAAGCAUCUGAAUGCAGAGUUCCAAAGAAUAGCAAGAAGAGACAAGGAAGCCCCCCUCAGCGAUCAAUGCAAAGAAAUAGAGGAAAACAACAGAAUGGGAAAGACUGGACAUCUCUUCAAGAAAAUUAGAGAUACCAAGGGAACAUUUCAUGCAAAGAUGGGCUCGAUAAAGGACAGAAAUGAUAUGGACCUAACAGAAGCAGAAGAUAUUAAGAAGAGGUGGCAAGAAUACAUGGAAGAACUGUACAAAAAAGAUCUUCAUGACCCGGAUAAUCACAAUGGUGUGAUCACUCAUCGAGAGCCAGACAUCCUGGAAUGUGAAGUCCAGUGGGCCUUAGAAAGCAUCACUACGAACAAAGCUAGUGGAGAUGAUGGAAUUCCAGUUGAGCUAUUUCAAAUCCUGAAAGAUGAUGCUGUGAAAGUGAUGCACUCAAUAUGCCAGCAAAUUUGGAAAACUCAGCAGUGGCCACAGGACUGGAAAAGGUCAGUUUUCAUUCCAAUCCCAAAGAAAGGUAAUGCCAAAGAAUGUUCAAACUAUCACACAAUUGCACUCAUCUCACAUGCUAGUAAAGUAAUGCUCAAAAUUCUCCCAGCCAGUCUUCAGCAAUAUGUAAACCAUGAACUUCCUGAUGUUCAAGCUGGUUUUAGAAAAGGAAGAGGAACUAGAGAUCAAAUUGUCAACAUCCACUGGAUCAUGGAAAAAGCAAGAGAGUUCCAGAAGAACAUCUAUUUCUGCUUUAUUGACUAUGCCAAAGCCUUUGACUGUGUGGAUCACAAUAAACUGUGCAAAAUUCUGAGAGAGAUGGGAAUACCAGACCACCUGACCUGCCUCUUGAGAAAUCUGUAUACAGGUCAGGAAGCAACAGUUAGAACUGGACAUGGAACAACAGACUGGUUCCAAAUAGGAAAAGGAGUACGUCAAGGCUGUAUAUUGUCACUCUGCUUAUUUAACUUCUAUGCAGAGUACAUCAUGAGAAACGCUGGACUGGAAGACGCACAAGCUGGAAUGAAGAUUGCUGGGAGAAAUAUCAAUAACCUCAGAUAUGCAGAUGACACCACCCUUAUGGCAGAAAGUGAAGAGGAACUAAAAAGCCUCUUGAUGAAAGUGAAAGAGAAGAGUGAAAAAGUUGGCUUAAAGCUCAACAUUCAGAAAACGAAGAUCAUGGUGUCUGGUCCCAUCACUUCAUGGGAAAUAGAUGAGGAAACAGUUGAAACAGUGUCAGACUUUAUAUUUGGGGGCUCCAAAAUCACUGCAGAUGGUGACUGCAGCCAUGAAAUUAAAAUACGCUUACUCCUUGGAAGAAAAGUUAUGACCAGCCUAGAUAGCAUAUUCAAAAGCAGAGACAUUACUUUGCCAACAAAGGUCCGUCUAGUCAAGGCUAUGGUUUUUCCAGUAGUCAUGUAUGGAUGUGAGAGUUGGACUGUGAAGAAGGCUGAGCACUGA